AUUGAACGCUGGCGGCAGGCCUAACACAUGCAAGUCGAGCGGAUGAAGGGAGCUUGCUCCUGGAUUCAGCGGCGGACGGGUGAGUAAUGCCUAGGAAUCUGCCUGGUAGUGGGGGAUAACGUCCGGAAACGGGCGCUAAUACCGCAUACGUCCUGAGGGAGAAAGUGGGGGAUCUUCGGACCUCACGCUAUCAGAUGAGCCUAGGUCGGAUUAGCUAGUUGGUGGGGUAAAGGCCUACCAAGGCGACGAUCCGUAACUGGUCUGAGAGGAUGAUCAGUCACACUGUAACUGAGACACGGUCAAGACUCCUACGGGAGGCAGCAGUGGAGAAUAUUGGACAAUGGGCGAAAGCCUGAUCCAGCCAUGCCGCGUGUGUGAAGAACGUCUUCGGAUUGUAAAGCACUUUAAGUUGGGAGGAAGGGCAGUAAGUUAAUACCUUGCUGUUUUGACGUUACCAACAGAAUAAGCACCGGCUAACAUCGUG
rnacentral:rRNA from 1 species